GUAGCAGUGAUGAUGGUCACAUGACUGAAUAUGGACACAGAGAUGGACGUUCAUCUGCACAUCCUCAGUGUCUCAGGAGUCACAAUAAACACACUAAAUAAAGUCAUGAUUGUGUAACUCUAGUGUAUAUGAGUGUGUUGUCAGCACAAGCUGUUGUAAAUCCUGCCCACUUCUUUGCAUUGUCAGCACAUGCUUCAGUGCUCUGAGAGUGUUUAUAGUGCUGUGAGUUUAACACUUCAUGACUGAGAGCAGAACACACACACUCUUCAUCAUCACACAAGACUAAACUACAACUAUGAACAACAUCUGCAUCUUCAUCUGGACCAUUGCACUGUUUAUUCAAGAGUGUAGAGGACAGAUCACUGUAACUCAGAGUCCAUCAAUAUCAGCAGUUCAACCAGGAGAACAAGUCAGAAUAAACUGUAAAACCAGCAGUAAUGUGUUUAAUAAUAAUUUCUUAGCCUGGUACUCACAGAAACCUGGAGAAGCUCCUAAACUCCUGAUAUAUUAUGCAUCAACCCUUUAUUCUGGAACUCCAUCUAGAUUCAGUGGCAGUGGAUCUGGCAGUGAUUUUACUCUGAGCAUCAGUGGAGUCCAGACUGAAGAUACAGGAGAUUAUUACUGUCAGAGUGCACACUAUAUCAGUGGUAAAUGGGUGUUCACACAGUGAUAAAGAGUCGUACAAAAACCUCUGUCAGUCAGACGUCACAGUGACUGCACUGAUACAGCUGAGAGAAACUGCAGCUGCUGAUGGAGGAUCACACACUACACAAUAUCAAUGUCUAGCAAACUUUAUAAAGACUUUAAAGGUAAAUGUAAUAUAUGCUUUUCUGUGUCCGUGAUACAGAGUAAUUACUUAUUAA